GACGAACGCUGGCGGCGUGCUUAACACAUGCAAGUCGAACGGAAAGGCCCUGCUUUUGUGGGGUGCUCGAGUGGCGAACGGGUGAGUAACACGUGAGUAACCUGCCCUUGACUUUGGGAUAACUUCAGGAAACUGGGGCUAAUACCGGAUAGGAGCUCCUGCUGCAUGGUGGGGGGUGGAAAGUUUCGGCGGUUGGGGAUGGACUCGCGGCUUAUCAGCUUGUUGGUGGGGUAGUGGCUUACCAAGGCUUUGACGGGUAGCCGGCCUGAGAGGGUGACCGGCCACAUUGGGACUGAGAUACGGGCCAGACUCCUACGGGAGGCAGCAGUGGGGAAUAUUGCACAAUGGGCGGAAGCCUGAUGCAGCAACGCCGCGUGCGGGAUGACGGCCUUCGGGUUGUAAACCGCUUUCGCCUGUGACGAAGCGUGAGUGACGGUAAUGGGUAAAGAAGCACCGGCUAACUACGUG
rnacentral:rRNA from 1 species